GGCGGUUACCUCACGGUUGCGGUGACUCUUGGCUUGGCGUUAUUGCUUCGUGUUCGUUGCGUUCUUCACGUUCUUGCUGUUUCGCGUUCUUCGCGGUUGCUUCAGCUUCUGUUGCUUCGCGUUCUUCGCGGUGGCUUCAGCUUCUGUUGCUUCGCGUUCUUGCUGCUUCUGUACAGAUUCGGUUUUCCCUUUCUUCUUCUCGGAUUCGCACACCUUUCGUGAUCGUGCUUGAGUCCGGUGACGGAUUCGCACUCGUAUUGCGAAAGGAACAAAUCGAUGAUGAUGAUUCUCUGACGAAUCUUCUGAGAUUUGCAGAAGUUUC
rnacentral:lncRNA from 1 species